rnacentral:rRNA from 1 species
AUUGAACGCUGGCGGCAUGCCUUACACAUGCAAGUCGAACGGCAGCAUGAUCUAGCCUGCUAGAUUGAUGGCGAGUGGCGAACGGGUGAGUAAUACAUCGGAACGUGCCCUGUAGUGGGGGAUAACUAGUCGAAAGAUUAGCUAAUACCGCAUACGACCUGAGGGUGAAAGUGGGGGACCGCAAGGCCUCAUGCUAUAGGAGCGGCCGAUGUCUGAUUAGCUAGUUGGUGAGGUAAAGGCUCACCAAGGCGACGAUCAGUAGCUGGUCUGGGAGGACGAUCAGCCACACUGGGACUGAGACACGGCCCAGACUCCUACGGGAGGCAGAAGUGGGGAAUUUUGGACAAGGGGGGCAACCCUGAUCCAGCAAUGCCGCGUGUGUGAAGAAGGCCUUCGGGUUGUAAAGCACUUUUGUCCGGAAAGAAAUCGCACUUACUAAUAUUAGGUGUGGAUGACGGUACCGGAAGAAUAAGGACCGGCUAACUACGUGCCAGCAGCCGCCGUAACAC